rnacentral:rRNA from 1 species
CAGCAGCCGCCGCGGGAAUACAGAGGGUGCGAGCGUUAAUCGGAUUUACUGGGCGUAAAGCGUGCGUAGGCGGCUUCUUAAGUCGGAUGUGAAAUCCCUGAGCUUAACUUAGGAAUUGCAUUCGAUACUGGGAAGCUAGAGUAUGGGAGAGGAUGGUAGAAUUCCAGGUGUAGCGGUGAAAUGCGUAGAGAUCUGGAGGAAUACCGAUGGCGAAGGCAGCCAUCUGGCCUAAUACUGACGCUGAGGUACGAAAGCAUGGGGAGCAAACAGGAUUAGAUACCCCCGUAGUCCCUGUCUCUUAUAC